GCCGAGGUAGUGUAAAGGCUGCACAGAGGGCUGUGGACUCUCUAGCCUGGGUCCGAUUCCCAGCCUCGGCC
rnacentral:tRNA from 1 species